UUGCAGCCAUAUCAUGUUAAAACAACAGUUCUCAUACAAUCACCAAGGUUAAGUAACAUUGAGCUUGGUCAGUACCUAGAUGGGUGACCCCUUUGGACUACUAGGUGCUGUAG